rnacentral:rRNA from 1 species
UACAGAGGUCCCAAGCGUUGUUCGGAUUCAUUGGGCGUAAAGGGUGUGUAGGUGGCGCCGUAAGUCGGGUGUGAAAUCUCGGGGCUUAACUCCGAAACUGCAUUCGAUACUGCGGUGCUUGAGGACUGGAGAGGAGACUGGAAUUCAUGGUGUAGCAGUGAAAAUGCGUAGAGAUCAUGAGGAAGACCAGUGGCGAAGGCGGCCUUCUGGACG